GGCGCAAGGGUGCGUAACACGUGGAUAAUUUGCCGUAAAGUUGGGGAUAACACCGAGAAAUCGGAGCUAAUACCGAAUGUGGAAGCUGGGGGGCAUCUCCCGGCUUCUGAAGUUGGGGACCGCAAGGCCUGACGCUUUACGAUAAGUCCGCGGCCUAUCAGGUAGUUGGCGGGGUAACGGCCCACCAAGCCUAAGACGGGUAGCUGGUCUGAGAGGACGACCAGCCACACUGGAACUGAGACACGGUCCAGACACCUACGGGUGGCAGCAGUCGAGAAUUUUUCACAAUGGGCGCAAGCCUGAUGGAGCGACGCCGCGUGGGGGAUGAAUGGCUUCGGCCCGUAAACCCCUGUCAUUCGGGAACAAUUCGUUCGGGUUAACACCCUGGACGUUGAUAGUACCGGAAGAGGAAGGGACGGCUAACUCUGUGCCAGCAGCCGCGGUAAUACAGAGGUCCCAAGCGUUGUUCGGAUUA
rnacentral:rRNA from 1 species